GAUGAAGAACGCAGCGAAAUACGAUAAUUAAUGUGAAUUGCAGAAUUCCGUGAAUCAUCGAGUCUUUGAACGCACAUUGCGCCUCAUGGCAUUCCGUGAGGCAUGCCCAUCUCAGCGUUAGAAAAUAUUCUCAAAUUUUAGUUUUGUGCUAAAAUUUGGAUCAUGUCAAGGAAGCUAUUACUAUUAUUGUGAUCGCUCUUUGGAAAUUGAUAGGUCUUUGAGUUGCUACUCAUAGAACGUGAUGAAUCUUUCUUCGUUCUAUUGUAAUUCACUCUGGUAGUCCUAAAACUUGUAUGCCUGUGGCAUAUCUUGUAAUUUGACCUGAGAUUGGGUAGGGAUACCCGCUGAACUUAAGCAUAUCAAUAAGCGGAGGA
rnacentral:misc_RNA from 1 species